CCUACGGGGGGCUGCAGUGGGGAAUAUUGGACAAUGGGGGGAACCCUGAUCCAGCCAUGCCGCGUGUGUGAAGAAGGCCCUCGGGUUGUAAAGCACUUUCAGUGAGGAAGAACGCCUGGUGGUUAAUACCCAUCAGGAAAGACAUCACCCACAGAAGAAGCACCGGCUAACUCCGUGCCAGCAGCCGCGGUAAUACGGAGGGUGCGAGCGUUAAUCGGAAUUACUGGGCGUAAAGCGCGCGUAGGUGGCUUGAUAAGCCGGUUGUGAAAGCCCCGGGCUCAACCUGGGAACGGCAUCCGGAACUGUCAAGCUAGAGUGCAGGAGAGGAAGGUAGAAUUCCCGGUGUAGCGGUGAAAUGCGUAGAGAUCGGGAGGAAUACCAGUGGCGAAGGCGGCCUUCUGGACUGACACUGACACUGAGGUGCGAAAGCGUGGGUAGCAAACAGGAUUAGAUACCCUUGUAGUC
rnacentral:rRNA from 1 species